UUUUUUUCCAUUUUUUUCACCGUUUAUUUGUUUUCAGGAUCAGGAGAGCAGCUAGUGCUGCAGGUUGAACGAUGAUUUUGAGGAUUUUUUUUCCUCUCACAUUUGAUUUGGGAAAUGUGAUGAUGAAAAAACAUGCAGAUUUUUGGAGAGUUGACCUUGAAAUCAGAUGAAUCCUGAAAUGAAUUCCACUAAGGAUUUUUCAUCGUCUGAAUAUUCAUGUGACGUCGGAACCUAGAAAUGAGCUGUCAGACUGUGUGGACAUUGAGGGAGUACUUAAUUCAAUCAUAUAAAAGUUGUACGUGGGCGGAAGCGGAUACAAUGACCUCUCGCUCAAUUAGCAGAAGAGGAAUAAAUAACCGUUAAAUCAUCGAUUUUCUGCGGUAAGUCUUCGACAUCGAUCGCCUCAACCCCCAGGAAUUUUUCUUUCCUCCUAAAAUUAAUAUUGCAGCAAUGGGAGAUGUUUUCCAAUAAUCCGGGGAUGUUUUGAAAGCGAUUAGCAAUUAGUUCUGUUGGAAUUCUACAAUAAUUGUAAAGAAACCGUCGACUGUUAUUUUGAGAUCGUUGCCAGGGAUAUAAGUUGAUCGGAUCGAUUACUAGGAAAACUAGCACGAGCGAAUGUGUCUCACUUCAACCUGAAUAAACUCCAAUUUUUCAUAAAAACCCCCAACUUCUAAUUCAAAUCUCGCUGAAUUAUUCAGGAAGUACUCAUUUGGCUCAUGGACGUAACUGAACCUUACAUGAUCAGGUGCUAAAGAAUGAGAAGGCAGAUUAAUUGUUUGAUCGAAGGUGAAUGUCCAGGAGGCAGUGAAAGUGGGCAUUCCUCGGAAUUUCAACAACACCUCUUAAAAGAUUGGUGGAUUCUGACUUCUACUCAGGCCACGUCACACUUGUAUGACUUUCAAUUGCUUUCGAUAAUGAACAAGUUCUGAGUUGUCCAUUCUCCAUUUACACCUGACGGUUCUCUCCUCAAAUCUACAGCUACGGCUCUGUUUCAUUUUGAACCCCACAAUGGAUGAGUAAUUUUGGUAAUUCUCACAAUGUCAAUUACACCGAAAAAAAAAUCUCUUAUACAAUUCCAUUUUUAUUUUAACAGCAGAUGGUUUCAAUCCAUCGCGGAAUUUCUGUUGUCGAUGAAUAAUUCAUUUUUUAUAUUAAUUGUGAAAGGAAUUCAAAUCAUUGUCAUGAAUCACUUUUAUUUUUCAGUCAACAAACGGAAUAUUUCAAUAUUUUUUCAC